rnacentral:SRP_RNA from 1 species
CCGUUUGUAGUAUAAUAAAUUAGUAACCACUCCGGUUGCUAAAUAAAUAUCGCAGGAAAUUCCGAAAUAUAGAUGUGCGGGCCCUGUGCAACAAGACACCGUGAACCAUGUCAGGCGGGAGACCGAGCAGCAUUAAGCGGACCGUAUUGUGUGCCGCAGCCAGCCUGCACAUCUAUGUUCCGGAAUUUUUUUCAAACGG